ensembl:lncRNA
UGGAGAGACACACCCAGGGCCACACCUGGGAGUGUUUGAGCCCCAUCUUUCCCCCUUAGGGCUUGUCGUUUUCCAGUCACUAAGAUUGUGCCUGACUCUGUAACCCCAUGGACUGCAGCACACCAGGCUUCCCCAUCCUUCACUGUCUUCUGGAGUUGUCUUAAACUCAUGUCUGUUGAAUCAGUGAUGCCAUCCAACCACCUCAUCCCCUGUCACCCUCUUCUGCCUUCAAUCUUGCCCAGCAUUAGGGUCUUUUCCAGUGAGCUGGCUUUUUGCAUCAGGUGGCCAAAGUAUUGGAACUUCAACUUCAGCGUCAGUCCUUCCAACUCUAGGGAGACAGCACACGCCUGGGAACACCGCCUCCUCCUGCCUCGCUGGAUCCUCCUUCAGUGAGGCCAAUGCAGUUCUCAGUCAACCACAAGCGCUCCUCAGCAUAACGGGCCCGGCUGUGUGUGAGUGCCCCCGCCGAUCCUCAGGUCUGCCGAGCAUCGCCGCACGGUGGCCGCCACCCCCCGGUGGGGCCAGGUCUCCACUGCGCCCCAGUCUUCUCAUGAGACCCUGAUGAGUCACCCACUGCGCCUAAUCUAACGGGGCUCUGGUGAGAACCAGCGAAAACUCCGGGAAGGGACGCGUGCGCCAUGACGGCUGCUGCUGUGCAUCCGGUACUUCUCUGAAGGCACCCUCCUCUGAGGGGGUGGGUGGUAAGUGGGUGUCAUCUGCAGACAGGAAGACCACAGCCCUGCCACAGACCAGAGGACACCCAGGGGCUCCAGGGACCAGAUGCGGGGUAGGGGCCUGUGCUGGAUCCUGACCCAGAAGAAGGACGUUCACAGAAAAACCGGUGAGGUCCAGAUGAAACCUGGAGCUUAGUCAGCAGUAAUGUGCCAACGGUAACUUCCUUGUUGUAACAAAAUGUACCAUAGUUACGUAAGAUGGAAAUGUGGGAGAAACUGGGCAAGGGGUAUAUGGGACUGCCUAUACUUGUAACUUUUUCUGUAAAUCAUACAGUAUUCCAAGAGAAAAAGUGGUUUGAAAAUGUAUGUCUUAACUUCAGACAACAAUGAAUUCAGAAUAAAGAGAAUUACACAAGAAAAGCACGGUACUUGUAACGGGAACAGUAUUUGCUGAAGGAGCCAGGGCCUGCAGAAGCACGGCUGGUUCCCGCCUGCACAGGGGAAAUGCAACUGAGCCCGGACAUCCUGUCCCGGAAAGUAAGACAACGUCAGAGAUGUUGGGAAUAUGUCAGAACCAACACAGGAGCCAACGCGAUGGAGCAUCUAUGGGCCAAGUCGGAGCAUCAAAAUAAACAAGGAUCACAAGAGGUUAUGACCCACUGAACAGUAAGAAUCCAUGGAACCCUUCUGACAUAAAUCAGUCAACGCGUCAGUAAGGAAAUAUCAGCUGGUGGAAUUAGAGCGAGGGAGGGAAUUAGAGACACAGCCCGUGGCCCCCCUGUGGUGCUUGAAGGCAAGGGUCAUCACUGAUGAGAAUCAGGACAGAUAAACACCAUUUCAGAGCAUCUCGUCACCCGCAGUGACUGUCACAUGGACAAGCCUGGCAGACACCACUUGACCGGGGGGUGAAAGCCCACAUCAUUAGCAACGAGACAAAUUCACGCUGCACUCCUCCUGACUUAGCCCGCUGCGAGGAUCGUAGCGCUGCUUUGGUGGUGCUCCUGUCAAAAGUGCGUAUUGUGAAUACAAUCGUGAGGAAAUAUCAGACAAAUCGAGCGACACUGAACAAGGAAACUGGGCUGUGCCCUUUGCAACUGUCAAGGUCCUUAGAAGAGAGUGGAGGCUGAGGACCUGGGCUGGACGGAACGAGACUGGGGAUGCACCGUGUGUCCAGGUGGACCCUCCGUCUGCGGAGGACGUGGGCAACUUGGGAAAUCGGAAUGCAGUCCAUGGGUCAGAGGGUGGCAUUACAUCAAUGCUGAUUUCCGGAUUUUGGUGAUUGAGAAAUGGAAAUAAGCAGGAGUCCCUAACCCUAACCCUUCUAACCACGUGUGAUCCAACAGAGAGAAACUGAGAUAGAAUGUGGCCGUCCCAAAGAGUACCGUUAGUGAAGCGGGUCUGAUCGCUAGGUAUCAAACUUUGUGUCUUGAAAAAAAUACACCUUCCUUUUUAGUGUCUCCCGAAGACUCACAAAAUUUGCUUGUGUUACUAAUUUGCCCACAAAGAAAGCCCGGUAGGCUGGGUCCAGUGGACACUGGUUUAUUUCUGUGAGCAGACGCAGCUGUGAAUAAACAGCUUUUAAAAUCAGUUCUAUCCAGCACUGACCUAUAGGCGUCUUCGGGCUUUAGCACACUGUGUCUCUGAGAUAACGCAGGGGUGGGCAGUUUACCCAAAAGUCGCUGAAUUUCUGGCGGCCGCUCAGAUGUGCACGGGGUCAGAGAGCUCACAGAUACUGCCUCGUUCCGUUCCAG